ACGAGGAAUCCCAAGUACUUUUUGCAGGAUAUAAGCGAGGCCUGAACCUUCACAAAUUCAUCCCUUCACCUAGCGACGUUUCAGACGCUGCCAUCUACAGUCUCACUGCACAAAGCAACAUGAACCGCCAGUUUGGAAUGGACCUCCUGUCGGUCGCCGCAAUCGUAAUUGCUUUGAUCGUUAUGGCUCCCAAGGAAGCUCUCGCUAGCCUCGGAGGAGGCGUGGGAGGAACCGGAGGCAUCCAAGGCUUUGGCAAGAAGUGAAUUUUCGUGUGUCCUGAAUCCAGCCAUUCCACCUUUGUCACGGUCUGGAUGACCAGCUCGCCUGCAAUAAAAUGCCUGUUGACAUCAUAA